UACAGAGGUCCCGAGCGUUGUUCGGAUUUAUUGGGCGUAAAGGGUGCGUAGGCGGCGGAGUAAGUUGGGUGUGAAAUCCCGGGGCUUAACCUCGGAAUUGCAUUCAAUACUGCUUCGCUCGAGUACUGGAGAGGAGGCUGGAAUUUACGGUGUAGCAGUGAAAUGCGUAGAUAUCGUAAGGAAGGCCGGUGGCGAAAGCGAGCCUCUGGACAGUUACUGACGCUGAUGCACGAAGUCCAGGGGAGCAAACGGG
rnacentral:rRNA from 1 species